AUCUUCAGUGAUUCAGCUUUGGGUUGCAAACUUGACAGCUGUUAUAAACUAAGCAGGGUUAGGCCUCGCUAAUGCUUGACUGGGAGACCACCUGGGACAACCCAAGAUGCUGAAGGAA
rnacentral:rRNA from 1 species